CCUACGGGAGGCAGCAGUGGGGAAUUUUGGACAAUGGGCGCAAGCCUGAUCCAGCCAUGCCGCGUGUGGGAAGAAGGCCUUCGGGUUGUAAACCACUUUUGUCAGGGAAGAAACGGCUCUUACUAAUAUUAGGGGCUAAUGACGGUACCUGAAGAAUAAGCACCGGCUAACUACGUGCCAGCAGCCGCGGUAAUACGUAGGGUGCAAGCGUUAAUCGGAAUUACUGGGCGUAAAGCGUGCGCAGGCGGCUUUGCAAGACAGAUGUGAAAUCCCCGGGCUCAACCUGGGAACUGCAUUUGUGACUGCAUGGCUAGAGUACGGUAGAGGGGGAUGGAAUUCCGCGUGUAGCAGUGAAAUGCGUAGAUAUGCGGAGGAACACCGAUGGCGAAGGCAAUCCCCUGGACCUGUACUGACGCUCAUGCACGAAAGCGUGGGGAGCAAACAGGAUUAGAUACCCUGGUAGUCCACGCCCUAAACGAUGUCAACUGGUUGUUGGACGGCUUGCUGUUCAGUACGAAGCUAACGCGUGAAGUUGACCGCCGCGGGUAAGGUACGGCCGCGAGGUAGUUAACGUUACGAAGGAAGUUAGACGGCGUUGAGACGNGCGACGGACGACGACGAGGGAGGAGG
rnacentral:rRNA from 1 species